rnacentral:rRNA from 1 species
GGGGAAUAUUGCACAAUGGGGGAAACCCUGAUGCAGCGACGCCGCGUGAGUGAAGAAGUAUUUCGGUAUGUAAAGCUCUAUCAGCAGGGACGAAUAAAUGACGGUACCUGACUAAGAAGCCCCGGCUAACUACGUGCCAGCAGCCGCGGUAAUACGUAGGGGGCAAGCGUUAUCCGGAUUUACUGGGUGUAAAGGGAGCGUAGACGGUGAUGUAAGUCAGAUGUGGAAGCCCGGGGCUCAACCCCGGGACUGCAUUUGAAACUAUGUUGCUGGAGUGCAGGAGAGGUAAGUGGAAUUCCUAGUGUAGCGGUGAAAUGCGUAGAUAUUAGGAGGAACAUCAGUGGCGAAGGCGGCUUACUGGACUGUAACUGACGCUGAAGCACGAAAGCAUGGGGAGCAAAC